rnacentral:rRNA from 1 species
GUGGGGAAUCUUAGACAAUGGGCGCAAGCCUGAUCUAGCCAUGCCGCGUGAGCGAUGAAGGCCUUAGGGUUGUAAAGCUCUUUCAGUGGGGAAGAUAAUGACUGUACCCACAGAAGAAGCCCCGGCUAACUCCGUGCCAGCAGCCGCGGUAAUACGGAGGGGGCUAGCGUUGUUCGGAAUUACUGGGCGUAAAGCGCACGUAGGCGGACUGGAAAGUCAGGGGUGAAAUCCCGGGGCUCAACCCCGGAACUGCCUUUGAAACUCCCAGUCUUGAGGUCGAGAGAGGUGAGUGGAAGUCCGAGUGUAGAGGUGAAAUUCGUAGAUAUUCGGAGGAACACCAGUGGCGAAGGCGGCUCACUGGCUCGAUACUGACGCUGAGGUGCGAAAGCGUGGGGAGCAAACAGGAUUAGAUACCCGAGUAGUCC